rnacentral:lncRNA from 1 species
CUUUGUUCUUAUCAACCUCCUCAUCAAAUACUUCAACCACUGACUGCCAGGCUGGCCUGUGCUGAGCAGAGGAGAUUAAAAGGAUUAUCCAGGCUUCUGGUUGAUAUUAGUUCUUCAGGGAGGCGAUGGAAUAUAGAUAAAUGACACGGAGCUUGCUGGAAUUCCAUCUCUGUCACUUGCAAACUGUGUGAUUCUGGGGCCUAGAAUCUGGCACUUAAGAAGAAUUUUGUGACUAUGAACACACUAUCAGAGACAACAGCUCAUACCUCAGCUCUGUUGCUAACCAUCUGGCCUAUGAGAUCUGGGGCUAGUUGUCCAAUCUCUCCAAGCCUCUGCUUCUCCACUGGAAAA